CCUGUUCUCAAACACGCAGACGCGUUGGUUCCUUCUAGCUUCUGUCCUUCUGUCGACACGAUGAGCGGACCAAACGUGAAAAAGGGCUCUUCAUACCGGGUGACUGAGUGGAUCAGCGCCACGUAUCGGUUUGCGACGGACAGACAAGACUUUAGAAGGAACCUUUUGGUUAACUUGGGUUUGUUUGCUGCUGGAGUUUGGGUCGCUAGAAAUCUCUCAGAUUUCGACUUGAUGUCUCCUCAGCCGGUGACUUAACCGUAGCUGCAGGUCCCGACCAAAAACAGGUGGUGAGAGAGCUUUCUGUAUCAGGAGCCUAGGACCAACAAAGAAGAAACAAGGGACAUGAUGAAAUACUAGGAAAACAAAACGUCUUUGUUUACAUGACAUUUUUCACCUAUGUAUGACCUGUAAA